GAUGAAGAACGUAGCGAAAUGCGAUAAGUAGUGUGAAUUGCAGAAUUUAGUGAAUCAUCGAAUCUUUGAACGCACAUUGCGCCCGUCAGUAUUCUGGCGGGCAUGCCUGUUCGAGCGUCAUUACGCCCCUCAAGUCCCCUGUGGACUUGGUGUUGGGGAUCGGCGAGGCUGGUUUUCCAGCACAGCCGUCCCUUAAAUUAAUUGGCGGUCUCGCCGUGGCCCUCCUCUGCGCAGUAGUAAAACACUCGCAACAGGAGCCCGGCGCGGUCCACUGCCGUAAAACCCCCCAACUUUUUAUAGUUGACCUCGAAUCAGGUAGGACUACCCGCUGAACUUAAGCAUAUCAAUAAGCGGAGGA
rnacentral:misc_RNA from 1 species